UACGAAGGGGGCUAGCGUUGCUCGGAAUCAUUGGGCGUAAAGGGUGUGUAGGUGGCGCCGUAAGUCGGGUGUGAAAUUUCGGAGCUUAACUCCGAAACUGCAUUCGAUACUGCCGUGCUUGAGGACUGGAGAGGAGACUGGAAUUUACGGUGUAGCGGUGAAAUGCGUAGAUAUCGUAAGGAAGACCAGUGGCGAAGGCGGGUCUCUGGACAGUUCCUGACGCUGAGGCACGAAGGCCAGGGGAGCAAACGGG
rnacentral:rRNA from 1 species